UACGGGGGGAGCAAGCGUUGUUCGGAUUUACUGGGCGUAAAGGGCGCGUAGGCGGUGGGAUAAGCGCAUGGUGAAAGCCCGGGGCUCAACCCCGGGUCGGCCGUGCGAACUGUCCGACUCGAGCACUGUAGAGGCAGGUGGAAUUCCGGGUGUAGCGGUGGAAUGCGUAGAGAUCCGGAAGAACACCGGUGGCGAAGGCGCUGCUCUGGGCCGAAACUGACGCUGAGGAGCGAAAGCGUGGGUAGCAAACAGG
rnacentral:rRNA from 1 species